GUGCCUAACACAUGCAAGUCGAACGAGAAAGUGGAGCAAUCCAUGAGUAAAGUGGCGACCGGGUGAGUAACACGUGACUAACCUACCUCCGAGUGGGGAAUAACUCCGGGAAACCGGGGCUAAUACCGCAUAACAUCGCAAGAUCAAAGCAGCAAUGCGCUUGGAGAGGGGGUCGCGGCUGAUUAGCUCGUUGGCGGGGUAACGGCCCACCAAGGCGAAGAUCGGUAUCCGGCCUGAGAGGGCGCACGGACACACUGGAACUGAAACACGGUCCAG
rnacentral:rRNA from 1 species